CCUGUGGGAUGUGUCUGAGGUUGUCCUUGUGAUUGCAGUGGGUGGUGGGGUCGGGGGAGGAGGACCCCAGGGCUGAAGUGCCGUGCUCAUCACAUCGUGUCGAGGACACAGAUGAUCAACCUGACGUGUCACUGUUGACGCCGACCAUGACCACCUGGCUGAGGUCGUGUUUGUCAGGACGCUCCACGUGGAGGAGACCAAGGCUCAGAGAGGUGCGGUAACUUGCCUGAGACCACACAGCUAGAAAGGGGCAGAGUGAAGAUAUGAACUGGGGUUUCUGGCAUCUGUCACUCCCUCCAGUGGCCUCUCCGUGCUGAGGGGAGCCUGUGGACUGUCUAUGCCGUGAGCUUCCCAUUGACUGGGCCUCCCUGGGCCAGCGCCUUGCAGCCGGCAGCACCUGUGAUCUCCUGGGCUCCCUUGGGUUCUGCAGGGGCAGCCAGGCUGCCCUUCCUCCCCGUGCGCCAGCCGGGCCAGCACUGGGGUAGUGGAAGGGAGGGCUAAUUGUGGCUCCUUAUUCAUGGUCACAUCCUUGUCCCCUGCGUCAGUCUGGGCCUGAGGAAGGGCUCGCCCAACAGCUGCACGGCACUGAGCAGACCAAGACACCAGCUUGUGCAUCCCUGUGAGCAGGACUCAGGCCCCAAUUUGGACACCGACCCCUGGCCCACCCCAGAUGCCCUCUGAAAACCUCCGACCCGGGCCCCAGACACCCCUGCUCCACUCCCUCCAAAGCUGAACGUUGAGCCCCUGGGCGGCCAGGUGGCCCCUCGCUCAGCCCCACACCCGCCUUGGAUGUCCUCCGUGGCCAGGAAUAACCAAGUGACUCAGGCGGUGCCCGUGGUGCUGACCCUGCUCCCGGGCACUUUUCCUUACAAGGCCGUGUACACCUCCUGCCAGCCGGUGCAGGUCCACCGUCCCACCUCAUUCAUUCAGCCAUUCGUCCACCAGUAUUUACUGAGCCAGCUCCUUUGCAAAGCACUGAGAUAUGGCUGCUCAAAACGGAGACUCGGGGGGCUGAAGGUUUGCUGGGGUCUGGAGUGAGAGUCCGGCCAGGGCCCAGUGGACUCCUUACUGGACCAGGGUCAUGAGCAAGCCACCAGCUCUGCUGCUGGGCAAUGCCACCAGGGCAGGCUGGGGCACCCAGGGUGACCUCUCUCCUCGGGAAUGAAGGAAGGGCACCCAGCCUGCCUCCCUGGCGAGGUCAUCACGCUGGUCUCCUGCCUGACCUCUCCCACCUGUUUGCCUUGAGGGGAAGCAGCCAAGCCGCAGGCGGAGCGGGGCCCACAGGCCAGCCUGCCUGCCACACCUGCGUGCCCG
rnacentral:lncRNA from 1 species